rnacentral:lncRNA from 1 species
UGAUGGACAUCUAUUUUCCUGGAAGGUAUUUGAGUGUUCAAGGGCUCCCGAGUGGCGCAGCGGUCUUAGGCACUGCAUCUCCGUGCAAGAGGUGUCACUACAGUCCCUGUUUCCAAUCCAGGCUGUAUCACAUCCAGCCGUGAUUGGGAGUCCCAUAGGGCGGCGCACAGCAUCGUCCUGGUUAGGUUCUGGCCGGGAUCCUUCCAUCAGCAGCACCAUACCAUCAGUGUCCUUCCAGAACCUUCCAGCACCAUACCAUCAGUGUUCUUCCAGAACCUUCCAGCACCAUACCAUCAGUGUUCUUCCAGAUCAGAUCCUUCCAUCAGCAGCACCAUACCAUCAGUGUUCUUCCAUAUCCUUCCAUCAGCAG